AAAGGAUUGUUCCAUGCUGGCAGAAUCUUCCAUGGAAAAGUCCAAGAGAAAAUUCAAGGAAGAUCUGCAGUUUUCAGAGUUUUGCAUUGCUUGCUUCUGGCUUAUUCAGGAUUUCGCAGAGUGACCAGUGAGCACCUGCUCCCCUGCCCUGCUGUGCUGCCCAGGGCAUGGGGCCCUCCUUGGUUCCUCACACCAGCUCUAACCCACCACGGUGUCUCCUCAAGCCUGGCCCCAAGGAGGGAAGAUGCUUUUGGUGAGUUUGGUGCCUGGAAUUUCUGAUUUUAACAUCCUGCUUGACCUUCUCCAGCCACAGCCUCCCUCAUCACCCUGAAUUUACUGUCUGAGCUCUCUGGGGUUGAG